AUUGAACGCUGGCGGCAUGCCUUACACAUGCAAGUCGAACGGCAGCGGGGGAGAAGCUUGCUUUUCCUGCCGGCGAGUGGCGAACGGGUGAGUAAUACAUCGGAACGUGCCCUGUAGUGGGGGAUAACUAGUCGAAAGAUUAGCUAAUACCGCAUACGACCUGAGGGUGAAAGUGGGGGACCGCAAGGCCUCAUGCUAUAGGAGCGGCCGAUGUCUGAUUAGCUAGUUGGUGGGGUAAAGGCCUACCAAGGCGACGAUCAGUAGCUGGUCUGAGAGGACGAUCAGCCACACUGGGACUGAGACACGGCACAGACUCCUACGGGAGGCAGCAGUGGGGAAUUUUGGACAAUGGGCGAAAGCCUGAUCCAGCAAUGCCGCGUGUGUGAAGAAGGCCUUCGGGUUGUAAAGCACUUUUGUCCGGAAAGAAGUGGCUCUGGUUAAUACCUGGGGUCGAUGACGGUACCGGAAGAAUAAGGACCGGCUAACUACGUGCCAGCCGCCGCAGUAA
rnacentral:rRNA from 1 species